rfam:Stegodyphus mimosarum contig38544, whole genome shotgun sequence.
GCCUUCGUGAUGUAGUGGUCAGCACGCUCGACGCAUGACCGAGAGGUCCGUGGUUCGAUUCCCGGAGAAGGCG